AUACAGAGGGUGCGAGCGUUAAUCGGAAUUACUGGGCGUAAAGCGCGCGUAGGCGGCUACUUAAGUCAGAUGUGAAAUCCCCGGGCUCAACCUGGGAACUGCAUCUGAUACUGGGUAGCUAGAGUUUAGGAGAGGGAAGUAGAAUUUCAGGUGUAGCGGUGAAAUGCAUAGAGAUCUGAAGGAAUACCAGUGGCGAAGGCGACUUCCUGGCCAAAAACUGACGCUGAGGUGCGAAAGCGUGGGUAGCAAACGGGAUUAGAAACCCCAGUAGUCC
rnacentral:rRNA from 1 species